GACCUGGUGGUAUAGUGGUAACACACUUGCUCAAAAUAAUUGUAAGACAUUCAACUGUGUAAGAGUUCCCUGUUCAACUCAGGACUGGAGCA